GUCAGUUAACGCUGUCAGGAAUAUUCCUGGAAUAUUCCGUUUAUCCUAACAGUAACCAUCCAAACUAACUGACGGCGUCAGCAUAUUCCGUCCAAACUGACGGAAUAUUCUGCCUUCGUCUCCGGCGAGUCGCUCGUCGCCGGAAAACUGGGUAAAACUUCAAAACCUUUGUUCUCACUCGAUUCUUCACCAAAACUUAUGAAAUUUGAACCAUUGGAAAGCUAACAACAUGUAGAAUCACGUUAUACCAUUUUUAAGCCUUUAAAUCCACUAUAAUUUACCUGAGGAAGCUCGAUAAUCCGGUCAACUUUGAAAAACUUCGAUCUCGGCCCUCCGACAUCCAAACUCUUCCAACGAACUACCCCGAGCUUCCUUAGGACCUCCUAAAACUCCCUAUAAGCUUCAAAUUCCCUGAAACAAGUAGUUUUAUGUCCAUGUGAACAGUGCAUGAAACUUUAUUUCUCGGGUUCUUGAGGUAUCAAAAGUAUCCUUACCUAAAAUGGAUAUCAAUCAACUCAUAACACCACGAGGAACACAAUGGUGCACUCAAAAUCUUCGAUCUGCGAAGUUUGGGGUGUUCUUGCCCUUGUCCGUACAUAUAGCAAGGAGAGAAAGAGUGAAACCAAGAGAGAAAGAGUACGUGAGAGAAGAGAGAGAAAGGGUAGGGAUGUGUGUGUGGUCCCAAAAUGCACACCAAUCACAACUAAGAGAACACUUAGUUCUAAUUGGAUCCACUAAAAGAGGAAUAUAGCUAAUUGGUCCAAAAUCUUAAGUUUAAACCACAACAUCCCAUAAUAAUUCUCAACGUCCAAGGAUAUUUAGGUAAUUUCACAUCGUUGAUAACAUAAUUAACGUACAUCUUCGGGACGGGCUAUGACAGGAAUAGCCCAGCACCCAGUCAAAAAACCAGAUUGGCACCUUGUCAAUUCACUCCAGCCCAGCAACUUGCCUGGCACCCAGCCCAAGCUAGUCUUUGGGCCAGCCCAA
rnacentral:lncRNA from 1 species